CUGGGGGGAGUUUCCUGUCCGCAUCCAGAUCCACUUUAAAGAGCCCAGCAACAAACGCAUUGACAUCGUACAUCAUGUCAAGCUGGACAGAACUUACACAGGCCUGCAGACAGUGCGGACAGAAAUAGUGGUGGAUGUUGAGCUCCACAGGAACUUCCUGUCCCCUUCCCCACUUCCUCUUCCUCCCAUGACCACCACCAGCAGCAGCGUGCAACCAG